rnacentral:rRNA from 1 species
CGUAAGGCGCCGAAUGAGUCAUUAAAAAAUUAACAUCAUCCGAUCCCUAGUCGGCAUAGUUUAUGGUUAAGACUACGACGGUAUCUGAUCGUCUUCGAUCCCCCUAACUUUCGUUCUUGAUUAAUGAAAACAUCCUUGGCAAAUGCUUUCGCAGUAGUUAGUCUUCAAUAAAUCCAAGAAUUUCACCUCUGACAAUUGAAUACUAAUGCCCCCAACUAUCCCUAUUAAUCAUUACGUCAAUCUUAGAAACCUAACAAAAUAAGAUCGAACGUCCUAUUUCAUUAUUCCAUGCUAAUGUAUUCAAGCGUUAGCCUGCUUUAAACACUCUAAUUUUUCAAAGUAACAGUCCAGUCUCCCGCAACACCAAAUUAAUGGCAUUACAGCUCAUCAGGAAGGAGGAAUCAGUGAGACCAGUACGUACCGGUGGCACGACCAACCUACUGACCCCGAAAUUCAACUACGAGCUUUUAACNGCAACAACUUUAAUAUACGCUAUUGGAG